rnacentral:lncRNA from 1 species
GUUAAUUUUUAGGAGAAGCUAAAAGUAAAAGUUAUUUUUAAAAAUUUCUAUGUUGACAUCAUCAAAAUGGGGGAGAAUGUACUUGCUCCCUGGUUCGAUUAAGUUGUUUUAGAUAGUUUUUAUUGAUGUCUGUUUAUGAAGCUUAGUUUUGGUAAAGCAUCAUUUUGCUCUAGGUCAUUUGUCCUUGUGAUGUAUCUAAAAGCUGGUUUUAGAUGAUGCAUACAAAAUUAGUUGAAAAAGCUAG